rnacentral:tRNA from 1 species
GCCAUCUUAGCUCAGUUGGUAGAGCACUCCCAUGGUAAGGGAGAGGUCAUCGGUUCAAUCCCGAUAGAUGGCU